GAUGAACGCUGGCGGCGUGCCUAAUACAUGCAAGUCGAGCGAACGGACGAGAAGCUUGCUUUUCUGAUGUUAGCGGCGGACGGGUGAGUAACACGUGGAUAACCUACCUAUAAGACUGGGGUAACUUCGGGAAACCGGAGCUAAUACCGGAUAAUAUUUUGAACCGCAUGGUUCAAAAGUGAAAGACGGUCUUGCUGUCACUUAUAGAUGAAUCCGCGCUGCAUUAGUUAGUUGGUAGGGUAACGGCUUACCAAGGCAACGAUGCAUAGCCGACCUCAGAGGGUGAUCGGCCAGACUGGAACUGAGACACGGCACAGACUCCGACGGGAGGCCGCAGUAGGGAAUCUUACGCGAUGGGGGAGUGCCUGACGGAGCAACGCCGCGUGAGUGAUGAAGGUCUUCGGAUCGGAAAACUCUGUUAUUAGGGGAGAACAUAUGUGUAAGUAACUGUGCACAUCUUGACGGUACCUAAUCAGAAAGCCACGGCUAACUACGUG
rnacentral:rRNA from 1 species